rnacentral:rRNA from 1 species
AAUGAACGCUGGCGGCAGGCCUAACACAUGCAAGUCGAACGGAUCCUUCGGGAUUAGUGGCGGACGGGUGAGUAACGCGUGGGAACAUACCCUUUGGUACGGAAUAGCCUCGGGAAACUGGGAGUAAUACCGUAUGUGCUCGAAAGAGGAAAGAUUUAUCGCCUUUGGAUUGGCCCGCGUUGGAUUAGGUAGUUGGUGGGGUAAUGGCCUACCAAGUCGACGAUCCAUAGCUGGUUUGAGAGGAUGAUCAGCCACACUGGGACUGAGACACGGCCCAGACUCCUACGGGAGGCAGCAGUGGGGAAUCUUAGACAAUGGGGGAAACCCUGAUCUAGCCAUGCCGCGUGAUCGAUGAAGGCCUUAGGGUUGUAAAGAUCUUUCAGGUGGGAAGAUAAUGACUGUACCACCAGAAGAAGCCCCGGCUAACUCCGUGCCAGCAGCCGCCGCCG